AUCGUGGUUCUUUUUCUCUCAUUUUUAACUCUUUCUAUUCUUGAUAGUCUUCAAACACCGACUCUGGUAUCACUCUCAGUCCUCUGUAAUACCUCAUUCAUCAUAUUUGUGUGAAAAAUCUUGGCUUCGUUAAAGCCUAAUGGACUCACCAUAGCUUCUUCUGAUUUCUUGUGAUGCAAGCCAGAGAGAGAACAGUGGCACGUCAGAGAAGUCUAAAUAAACUUGCGGUCAGAGAAAGCUCAGUUUGUCUAACAUAACUCGCGGAUCCAUUAGGCUGAUUAUAUAAGUAAGCGUUGAAGCUGCAUCGUUUUCUUUCCUCACUUCGAGUCGUCAAUGAGAUGUCUCCGGUGGCGUUGGAAGAAUGAUUUCUGUCUCAGCUUCCCUUUAUAUGCUUC
rnacentral:lncRNA from 1 species